ACUCCUACGGAAGGCAGCAGUGGGGAAUCUUGCGCAAUGGGCGAAAGCCUGACGCAGCGACGCCGCGUGGGUGACGAAGGCCUUCGGGUUGUAAAGCCCUGUGGGGUAGAACGAACUGGCAUCGGGCUAAUAUCCCGGUGUCUUGACGGUACUGCCUUAGCAAGCAUCGGCUAACUCUGUGCCAGCAGCCGCGGUAUG
rnacentral:rRNA from 1 species